rnacentral:rRNA from 1 species
AUGGAAGAACUCGAGUUCUUCAUGAUCCUACUCCCAAAUUUCUUGAAGAAACUGAGGCUUCCAGGCAAGUUCACCAAGGUACUCGCCGGCCGUGAGCGUCGGGAAGUGAAGCUGCGGGAGGACGGGCGCCGACGUCGCUUGUGGGACGUGGAAGUAGUUACCGACACCGAUGGCCACAUGUACCUGGGGCACGGAUGGGAGCACUUCGCCCACGCUCAUGACAUGCGGCUCGGUCACUUCCUCGUCUUAAGCUACGAUGGCCACGCUGUGCUCACCGUGAAGGUGUUCGACGGGAGCAUGUGCCGCAGGCACUACCAGCACGACAACGAUGCCAGCAGUGGGAGCAGCAGCGACCGUGGCAACACCUUGGGAGCAGAGGGGGAAGGGGAAGCGCCACCGCACACAGGGGCAAAGGAAGACGACGGGGCGCAGAGCAUAUCCCAGAUGAGUAAUCCAUGCGAUUCAGAUGGAAGCCAGAAGGAAAGAUCUUUUUCUUCCGAUCCAGAAGAUCCUGUGGACUCAGCUAAUCUACAGAUGCUUUCAAAUAACUAUGUCUUAUCAGUGCAAUGCUAUCUUACAAAAGAACAGAAGAUGAAAAUAGAUGCGCUCAUAGAGAAAACUCAACCUAAAUUCACAGUGCUAGUUGUACAGAUGAAGAAGUCAAACGUAAAACGGCAUGCUAAUCUGGUAAUACAGAAGGAUUAUGCACUCAAGCACUUUCCAUGUGAAGAUAUAAUUGUCAUACUCCAGCUGCCUGGGAAGAACAAGGAUUGGAAAAGCACAUUCCGCAUCAGGCCAUCCGGCGUGCCUGAUGCAGGUCGGUGCAACCUCUAUUUGGGGAACUUUGCCUGUGACAAUCAUGUUAGAGAGGGUGAUAUCUGCCUCUUCCAACCAAUGACAAAUGUUAAGGAGAGAAGAUUCAUAGUGAAAGUGCAUAUUCUUCACAAAGCGAGCGUUGAUGGCACUACUCAGUCGCCAGCAGGCGAAGGACCAGAUUCAGAUGGAUGCCUGAAGGAAGGCUCAUCCCAUAAUUAUAAAUCAGCAAGUACUCCUGCAGUGUCUUAUACUUCUAAAGAAUUUUCAGAAGAAAAUCCACCUGCAGAUGAGGCUAUGGAGUUGGAUGAUCUUCAGACCCUCUCGAAGGAUUAUGUCUUGUCAGGGAAAUGUGAUCUUACAGUAGCACAGGGGGCAAAAAUAAAUGCACUUAUAGAUAAAAUUCGGCCUGAAAUCCCCGUUCUUGUUGUACAGAUGAAGAAAAGCAGCGCAAACCGGGCUACUCUGAUCAUACAGAAGGAUUAUGCACUCAAAUACUUUCCAUGUGAAGAUACAACUAUCAUACUCCAGCUGCCGAGGAAGAACAAGAAUUGGAAGUGCAAAUUUCAUAUCAGGGCAUCCAGCAUGUGUAAUGCAGGCCGGCGCACCCUUUAUUUAGGAAAAUUUGUGCAUGACACUCAUGUUAGGGAGGGUGAUAUCUGUCUUUUUCAACCAAUGACAAAUGUCAUGCACAGAAGAUUCAUAGUGACAGUCCAUCUACUUCAAAAAGAGAGCAUUGCUCAUUCCCCUGGUGGAAGAACUGACAUUGGGUCAAAUCACGGAAGUACAAGUGCCAAGAUGGGCGGCGUUAAGGAGGAACCACCUGCCGAUGGUGAAGAAUAUGAAGUCUCUGAGGAUUCCGAGGAAGCUUCCGAGAAUCUCUUCAUGUUCGCUGACAGAGUUUGUAUAACACCAGCACAAGAGCUGAAAUUGUUGGAGAAAGUUGAGGAGAUUAAGUUCAAACCGCCCUUUUAUGUUGCUCUCAUGAGCAGGAGCACUGUCUGUCAGCAUGGUCCCAUGCUGCGUUUUGGCUGGCAGUACGCAGCCAGAUAUCUUGUUCCGAAGUUCGCUGCUGCCUCUCAUCGUGGAGAGAAUGGUCCAAUCAGUUUGGUGCUUCAGCGGGAGGGGAAGAGCAGAUCAUGGCCUACCAAGCUGCAAUAUAGGCGUCGCACGCUAGACACGACCAAUCAGAUGACCGUUCUCAAAGGAUGGCCGUCUUUUGCGCGCGACAACCACCUGCGGGAGAGGGACCUCUGCCUCUUCAAGCUGAUGGAUAACGAGGAGCAGCUGACGAUGAUGGUCUACAUCGUCCGCCGCUAG